AUGCCGUGUGCGAGGGGCACAGUGGCUGGCAUGGCGCAGACGCUCAGGGGACCGUGCGAUGACCGUCAGCAGGGGCAGUACCGUCCCCAUGACAGCGGUCCCCGUGGCAUCGGGAGGCGCUGUUCUGAGCCACUGGCCAUGGGCUCUCUCCUUCCAGGCUCUGGCCCGGCUGGAGCUCCUUCCUGGAGAGGACGACCGAGAUUUAACAUGCGCCCAAGUGCUGCCACCCCCCUUCGCAAGUGCACCCCCGACCCUGGCGGCCGUGAGCUCGAGUCCCCAGGGCCCCGGGCACGCCGGAGCCGGCUCGGGCGGCCUCGGCUCUGGGAGGGCCCCUGGAAGCAGCUUACCCACCUGGGCCCCUUCCUGGCUCCCCAUGUCUCCAGCUCCUGUGUGGCGCCCACGUGCUGGGGUGUCCCCUCUGUGUGUGCACGGGCACCAGGGGCUCGGGGAGACAGACUGCGCGACAAGCCAUCGGGGCUGCGGGCUCCCCCAGGGCCGAGGGCGCUACGGCUCCGCCGCCUUGUCUGGGUGCUCAGGCCCUGUGGGAGGGCGAGCACCUGCAGCAGGAGGGGCCAGGAGCCUCCGGGUCGGGGCGGACACUGCUCGGGGCGCUGUCCACAGAGGCCGAUGGCCCGCGGGGCAGGACAGGUGAGGGCUUUUGCUCCUGGAGGAAAGAGCCAGCACAUCCGGCCAAAUACAUGGUCCCCGUACUCUUCCCAGCCCAGGCGACACACACUGGUAUCUAUGUCUGUGUCACUGGUCCCCCAGGGAAGCUGCUCUCCACGGGCCACAGGCUGCCUGGAAAUGCUUCAAGGUUCCCUCAGCCGCCCUCCCCGUCCGGUGACCCCUAUGCCCGGCCAGGGGAGUGGGCGGACGGUGACUGCAAACAGGGACUCCCCAGGGACUUCCGGGUGGCAGGUGGGGCCUUGGGAACCGACAGGGCUGGAGAGAAAUGGAGACAUGUGGCCCCGCUGUCCCCGGGGGCCGGGCCACGUCCCCCCGAUACCCCUUUGA
rnacentral:lncRNA from 1 species